CCCUAUCAACCAGUCCCCCAUACCACGCGUCCAUCCUCCUCCCCCGCUCCCCACGCAGCCGCCGCCUCUCCCUCACCAUUCCCAUCUCGCCAGAACCGCAGCUCCCGUAGUCCUUCCCGGCCAACUGAGGAGCCCCCAUCCCAGCCCCACGCCGGGGUUCAGCGGCAUGAGAGGAAAGGAUCGACGAUGACCCAGUAAAGAGGAUGAGAGAUCGAGGAGGGAGGGUGUGGUCGCAGAGGAGAGGGGAGACGUAGGGCGGUGGAGGUCAGGCACCGGCACCGGAGACGCAGAUCCGUGGUAGAGCCAGAGAGGUCACGCUGGUCGGCAAGGAUGUCCUACCCUGUGCACGAGGAGAAGGGCGGCGAGGAUGUGCUUCUCUAUGCACGACCGUCGAAGUGCAGCAUCAUUGUGAUGUAUUUUCCUGUGGCUUUCUCCAUUAAUAUGUUUCUUCUCAACGAUCAUAUCAAUCUGGCUAGCGUUUGGACAUGUGAUUGGUUGAGGUUAACGAUUGGUACUACAAGGAGAGGUGCAACUAUUAUUUUGAUUUUGGGCUUUUGGUAGAUUUGAUUUAUCAUGGUUAAAGCACUGGUAAUGGCGCAGGUUAACGAUUGGUACUACAAGGAGAGCUUAUGAUACAAAUGUGAUUACACUAAUCAGUUGUUAAACAGGCUACUGCCAUGCUGCCUCUUCCUCAUAUUGGUAUAGGAGCACACACUGAUCCGAUAAACAGGAGUGAAGUAGGCAAUGCCUUGUAUAGUGGCUGCUGCCUCUGGUCUCCUCACCAUUAGUUUUUAAAGGUGGCAACAUCAGUGAUUUCUUGAUGAUCAUGUGAAGCUUGUGGGUUCAAAAUGGAUAAUGCAGUGAAAAAGAAGUCUGGGUCAAGAAAACAUGGACAUGUUGAGUACACGUGUACAUCUGUAUGCCCUUGGUACCUGUGUGGAAGGGCAGCUAACGAAUUUCCACAAGGCAAGGUACAAGCCUGCACAAGGAUUGCACAGAAUGGGUGAAACGAGAGACCUCGAGAGGGCAAAUCCACUUGCUCUUCCUUUACAUUGAACAUGUGGGAAAUCAGUGGUGUUAGAAGAAAAAAGAGGAGAAAAAAAUGUCAGGGUCAAUUCAUGAAAAUUCGUUACAUGAAUCAGGGACUAUAUGAUACUAUACCUGAACUUAUUGGAGAAGAACACAGACUUUCCAACUCUUGAGAGGGCAUGCCUCUUAACUAUCAGCAUAGUGAUGUCGAUGUAUUACCUUUUUCUGAAUAUGCAAUAACUAUUUAUUCUCUUUUGAUAUUGUUCACGUCAGUCUUGGGAGGUAUCUUCCAAGUUUUAAUGGCUGUAAUCCGUGGUCCUGAGAUUCAUAGAGUUUGUGGUGACGCUUCUGUUGAGCAACUACCUGAGAAAAUGUUAUGUGUAUUUUUGUGUCAUAUGGUUGCUUCAAAAAAAAUAAUCAGCAGACACAAAAUAUGUAACUGAUGAUUACCGAAAUCGGCCUUACUAAGCAAAUA